AUGGGCAUGCGUUCAGAGAAUACAAACAGGGAUUUACAAACAAAAAAGAAGACAAAAAAGAAUUCAUUGUUGUGUGAAAGAUAAAAGUCUUUACGCGAGAGCAAUAGAGGAUGGGAUACAUCUAUCUCUUCUAAGCAACCUCUUCUGAAUUCUUAA
rnacentral:rRNA from 1 species